rnacentral:rRNA from 1 species
GUGAACGCUGGCGGCAGGCCUAACACAUGCAAGUCGAGCGGCAGCGGGUCCUUCGGGAUGCCGGCGAGCGGCGGACGGGUGUGGAAUGCGUCGGAAUCUGCCUUUUUGUGGGGGAUAACGUAGGGAAACUUACGCUAAUACCGCAUACGACCUACGGGUGAAAGUGGGGGACCGCAAGGCCUCACGCAGAAAGAUGAGCCGACGUCGGAUUAGCUAGUUGGCGGGGUAAAGGCCCACCAAGGCGACGAUCCGUAGCUGGUCUGAGAGGAUGAUCAGCCACACUGGAACUGAGACACGGUCCAGACUCCUACGGGAGGCAGCAGUGGGGAAUAUUGGACAAUGGGCGCAAGCCUGAUCCAGCCAUGCCGCGUGUGUGAAGAAGGCCUUCGGGUUGUAAAGCACUUUUGUCCGGAAAGAAAUCCUGUCGGCUAAUACCCGGCGGGGAUGACGGUACCGGAAGAAUAAGCACCGGCUAACUUCGUG